GUCCGUACAGUCCCUGCGUCCAUAUUCUCCCUGGAGCCAAGUACACAGAAAUAAGAGUGACCCAGAAACCUGGAGGAUUCUCUCUCCUCAGUUGUAAGUCCCAUACUUCUGCUUUUUUAAUGAAUAAAAAAAAAAAGAAUUUGGGAGUGGAGGAAUGGAGGAAUGGGAUUUAUCUAUACUCCUGUGACAGCUUAAACUUGAGAUUUGGUGUGUAACUAACAAUAAUGGAGAUAUUUCUCGACCUAUUUACUUCUGCUAUGAUAAAGAGAUAAAAGAGAGGACAGAAAACGGUAUGGAAAUUGAAAAGACAAUUAUUUUGUUAGUUCCUCAAUUUAAUUAUUCACGAGGUUGAAUUUUUGUUUAUACAACAAAUUCAACAGUUGGGAACAUGUGAUUAGAUGGAUGAUUCAUAUCAUAUGCGAUACAUCACUCCAUCACUCGGUUGGUGGUCACUUUAAAACCAUCUCACGCCUUUCCUGCAGAACCAAAUAGAUGCAUCUUCUCUGCAAUCACUGCUUUCAUAGCUUCUUUUGCAGACGCCAUAACGUGGACUAGAUCUUUCUUAGAGUUGCUAAGGGAAUCCAUGUAAGCUUUUCGCACCUCUGUAUUUACAUUGAACUUUCUCACACCAUGCUCUAUGCAUUCCUGUUCAUGGACUCAAAACAGCUUAUGCAGCCAUUAAAGCAUCAAAAUACAAGACGAUCUUCAACUUGUAAACAAAAACCUAUGAACCCUAAUUGUUUUUCAAGUCAUUACAUAUAAACAUUUUACCUUGAUAAGUUCCUUAGGCAAACCAGAAGCUCCAUGAAGCACUAGGAGCACUCCUUUCUUCGAACUCAAGGCAUACAAAUCCUAUCAUAAAGGAAAUUGAACUCAGUACUAACAUAGAUAAUGAGGAUGUGUGUACGGGGAAGGCUUUGCAUAUUUGGUACCCAUGUAACAUGCAUAUUACAUUCAUCAAUCAACAUUUAUACUUGACCUUAAGCAAAUCAAGCCUCAGAUUUGGCCCACUUGCAGGGUAUUUUCCAUGGACAUUUCCAAUACACACUGCCAAAGCGUCUAUCCCGGUUUCAUCAAUGAACUCUUGAGCCUGAAAUUCACAAGGCCUUCCCAUGAUUUUAGAAAAGUUUAAGAGUAAAGGAAAGCUGAUUUCGUAAUCUUGGAAGGAAAAAAAUAACCUGCUUAACAUCAGUCAGCCUUGCUUCAUAGUCUUCAACAGUCAAAUCAUCUUCUGUCCCUGACAAUCUCCCUAGUUCAGCUUCUACUAGCACACCUUUUGAGUGAGCGAAGAAUGCUACAAACUUAGUGUACGAAACAUUUUCGGUGAAGGAAAGAUGUGAACCAUCCACCAUGACUGAAUCAAAUCCCUGGAUAGGAAAAUACAAUUAAUAACUCUCUAUGAUGAUAUACACAACAUGAACACAGAGGGUAAAAAGUCAACUUACCAACUCAAGAGCUUCCACCAGAUCUUGCUUUGAAGUUCCAUGGUCAAAGUGUACAGUUAUGGGAACCUGCCAUAAUAUGUACAUAAUCUCAGUACCAGCUCUUAGGGACUGAAAGUAGGUUCGGUAAUGACGGGGAAAGACAUUAUAGAAACGCGUGUUAAGAAUGGGCCACUUACACUGGCUUGUUCAGCAGCAGAUAUACAACAUGCGACCAACGGGAUCCCUCCUUGCUUCAAGGCACCAGGAUGGAUCUAGAUAAUAAAUGACAAUUUAUAAAAUUAUCUGAAAUUCGAUUGAAAUUAAGAUAUAUCAUAGAUACAUCUUUGAGGCAUUAAACUGAAUCGUUAUAUUAUUAUAAAUAAAUAAAUAAUCAAUGAGCAUAAGAGAACCGUUUGUUCCUAUCCUAGUUCAUGAAAUCAAUAAGAGAAAAUAAUUUACGCUAUGAUGCAUCCACAUAUAGGAAAUAUAAGAGCAGUGGAAUAAGGAUAGAGGAAUUGGAUGUUGCUCUGUUUCCAUGAAGAGACGUUCAAUUGAGCAAUCAUCUCUUGUAGCAACUGGAUUGAGAAAUUCUAAUUACGUUCCAUGUUUAGAAAAGAUUAAGUUAAUCUCCUGUCAUUGGCUUCCUAAAAGUUACUCGAAAUAGUCACACAAUCUGUCUUGUAGGAACAUUGGGCAAUUAACAAAAAUAACUAGAUUCAUCUCACGUUAUAGUAUUUCUAACCUGUAAUAUAGCUGGGCUUUGUUCUUCCUCUGCUGCAGCAACAACAGCCUCUACUCCUUCCAAAUUAUAAACAUUGAAUGCUCCUACAGCAUAUCCACCCUUUUCCGCAUUCUUUACAGAUAUUACAUUUGUUAGUAUGCAAGGAAAAAAUAGUUAUGAAACUUGAAAUUAAUGAUCCUUACCAGAAGAAGCUCUUUGGUUGAUGAAAGUCUGACUGGACGAGCCCAGGAUUUCACUAGCUCCGCCAAUGCGCUAUUGUCACCAACAUUACCUGAGAAUGGAGAAUUUUAAGAAGUUCCAAGUCCAAUAUAUAAGUUUUGUUGGUUUAUCAUUGUUCCCAAAAGCUUAAGUGUUAAAAUGUGGCUGUGAGCCAACUAUUUUUGUAUUCUAACACUCCCUCUCACCCUCAUGAGUUAGUGUCUCUCCACUGUUAGAGAUCCCAACACGUGGAAUUCAACAUAAAUUGCGAGCUUUGCGAAAUCUGAAUUCAAAAUCUCCCGCUAUGCCAUGAAUUUUUGUUGUUGUUGAUUUACCAUUGUUACCCAAGACUUAAGCUUUAGGAUGUGGACAACUAUUAAUUUUUAUUCAAAUAUACCCUUUUAGUAAAUCUAGCACAAGAAUAUUUGAGAACACCAAAACUCACCAGGAAAAACAAUAUAUGGAACUCCCAGAUGCCUACUCUCAGGACCUAGCUGCCACAAGGGAACACCAGCCAGGGCUUGUCCCACUAUUUUGGCACAUUUUGCUUCAAGAGCUUUUGUAGCAAGGUCAGAUGAUGUGAUUCCACCCUAAAUGAAGUACAAAUUCAGCAUUAAAACUCAUGAAACAAUACCAGGUACAACAGAGAGGCUACUGAUACAAUUAAACUUUGUGACAGAAAGAUGAGAUUUAAUCCCUCAAUGAUAACUUCCAGAUAUAUAUAAUAAAUAUAAUAAUAAUAUUUUAAAUAAAGGAAAAUAGGGAAUUGAACCUUUUUCAUUUGAAAACGUAGAAGUACCUUGGCAAGUAUGUAACGUGGUUUCGUAGAUAUGCGUCUAACUAUUUCCACCAGUGCAGAGCUAACUUUGAAGUUGAUUUCCAAACUCUCAGAGGGAGCUGCCCAAUGGUCAAUUCAAAAUAGACAAUAGCAGAGAAAGCUCUUUACGUGGUUCAUGCAAAUAUGAUACACUCAUAUAAUUCUUUAAACAAAAAGAAAAGGUGACUAACUUUUGCCGGUAAUGAGCUCCCUACUGGUCAUUAUUAGAGUGUCCUUCCGAGCUGUAAGAAAAAUAUCUGCCAUCUCAGCUGCUCUACUGAUUUCCUCCUCCCUCUCUUCUGUAGAACUCAUGGCAACUUUAGCAACCGAAACCUAAUUAUGGCAUAUUCAGAUCCCUAGUGUUACCAAAGUAAAGUUACAUAGAAACUGACCUAUUACAAUUUUGUGUUUGGAAUCAACAGUAACUUAACAAUGAACAAUUAAAUGCACAAAAGAGAAAUUAUGUUUGGUCACCUCAAUGCUUCUUAAAAUCUGGUUGCAUUGUAAUUUAAGCUCUUCAACCUAUGAAUUAAGAGUGUGAGCCAUAAGAUAACAAUAACAUUGUGGAGAGGUAGUCACACAACAGAUAUCCGGAUAACUGGUUCAACCUGUUUUGUUGUUUUUGGAACAUAUGACCCAACAACUAUGAGACCACCAUUCCUUUCCUUGUUUAUUCCAAGAUCCUUGGGAAAAAUUGGAGCUUUGGGGAUAAUUCCAAUCCUGGCAGAAACAAAGCUAGCAGCAGUUCGGCAUAAGAAACGCUUGCCCCUUAGUUCCGCCUGCCACAUCAAACAAAAACUCAUAAAAGAAGCGCCCCACAGUUUGAUCAAAAUAUACUGGAGGAAGUGUAAAAAAUAAUAAGGUCUAAGAACAGCAGGAAAUUUGCCUUGAUCAUUCCAGCAGCAAAAACAGCCAUGUCUCUGUCACUAGCUGCAUUAACUAUGCAUGUCGAUCCCUAUUCCAAAAUCAUAGUCCAAGGUGGAGAUAUAUAAGCAUUUCAUGUAUUUUGCUUGCAUGUUUUACUUAGCAGGUUUCUCCAUACCUUUUGCAAACUGCAAAGACGCUCACAAACAGCAUCUGGUCCACCUUUUCUUAGAAGUUGGAUAGAAACAGAUGUAACACUGCUGGCUGGUAUGCGGCCGGCAGUUUUCUCCUCAACCCACUAUCAAAGAAGUUCAAAGUUACAAUUCAAGCUAAUAUCCACUGCAAUAUGUAUUAAAACUACGUAUUUGAAGCAGAGAUAUAAAUAUUAGACCUCUCGAAGAUUCGAAGAUUUGUAGCCAAAAGCAGCAUCUUUAGCGAAUCCUGUAUCCGCUGCAGGGAUAAGCCUAAAGACCCCAUGAACCAUGAGCAAUGUUAAUUCACCACCAAAUCAUUAUUAAGUAUUUGUGACACAAAAAAGGGAUGAACAUUACUGGUCAGAAUCUGCAACAUAGUGUAUAUCUCCAAUAGUAUAACGCCCUCCUUGAAGAAAAAAGGGGCAGAUGAUCCAUGCAUCCAUCUCACCCAAUACUGAAACAGCGGCAUCAGCUUCCUAAACAGAUAAGGUAGUCUCAUCAAAUAAUGUGAGAAGAGUAGUGUUGAAUGACUCUAUAACGUAAAUAAUCAAAUAUAGUUAAAGUCACAGUCCUUGCCUCUGGGAAAUGGCCACGCAAAGUCGAAUCACCUCUCAAAACUACUGUAUAAUCAGCAUUCUCAAUUGAUUUGGUUGCAGCAUGUAGGUUUCUACAGAUGUCUUUAAUUAAUGCCGUGGCCUGUAAAAACAUCAAUCUACAUACUUAAUAUGACUGUCAAACAAUUAAAGAACACCAACAACCAAAAAAAAAAAAAAAAAAAGCAUUCCUUGGAGUGAGAAGGAUGUUUUUAUUGAGUUAACAUGAUUUAUAGAUGGAUCCUUGAUGUGCUUACACAAAUGCCUUUACCUUAUCAGAACUCAAGGACCUGGAGUUGGUCAAAAUGAAAAAGCACUUAGGUUUUUUUCUGAACUGCUCCUUUAGUGAUUCAACAGUCCUACAAAGAACAGUGACCAAUUUAUAACAACUCUGGCAUAUCUGGUCAUUUUUUGAAAAAAUUGUAUAUAUGGUUUCUAUUACUUAGCAUAAGAAUAAUAGUGGAGGCAAAUAUUUGUCAGUAUUUGCGCAAACUAAGUAGAAAUUUUGCACGAAAUACACAUCAUAAUAACCUGCUAUAUGCCCCAUAUAGUAUAUGUGAUCUAUAAUAAAAUCUGUAGCUUAGCCCAUUUGUUGUUUCCAAAAGGAAACCUAUAACAGUGUUACACAUAAGACAAUUAAAGACACUCACCAUUCAGUUAAGACCUCAAUAUCAUGAACAGUUUGAGUUCCAGUUGGAUCAUCAUCAAGAACAACCAAAGUCUUUGAACUUUCCAGAUUUAGUCUCUGUAUUUCACCAAUGGGAUCUACUGGCCACUCACCUGGGAGGGAUUUCAAGAUAAAGUCUUUCUUAAGAACCGGAAGUUUUCCUUCUACUUUAACACCCGUGAGUGUCUCAUAAACCUACAGACAUACAAAAUAUUUAGGUAAACCACUGACUGCCAUCUCCAGUCCUUUUAGUAUGGUGGUAUCUUUCUGCAAGCUAUAGCCCAGCCAUUAAGAGUUUUCUUGCCUUGUAUCCCAUUAUUUUUCAUUUCAAACUAUGUAGUAAAAUCCAAAUGAGCUAUAUGCCAAAAGGGUUCCAGUUAAAAAAAGCUAAUAGCGGAAGGUUUAUGUCUGGAAUUAUGUUUAGAUACUUUUUCAUGUACUAAACAUACUAACUUCCUUCAACUGAAAGAAAAAGGCAAUAAGAGUUGCCCAUACCUUAACCACACCAGCAUCAUCUUGCCGACCCCAGCCUGCAGCAGAACCUGCUCGGUAGUUGCAUCAAGUUUUAGUUUCCAUAUGCAAGCUAACAACUCAAGAAGGAACCCAAGGGCUAAUGUUUGUCCCUUUUUUUUUUUUUCUUAUUUUGAUUCCCAGAUCCCCCAAUCCCCUUUGCGGAUCAGAUUCAAAACUGGGGGGCCCUGCCAAACAGUACAAUCUUUGGGCGGUAGGAAACACUAGCAAGUAGCUAGGUAGGUAACUUUGGGGUACGUUUGUCAUAUUGAAUGCAAAAUAAUUCUCCUCAGAUAUAACCGAAUUGCAACACACAUGUAUUUCUGGUUUCUGUUACAGGUUUCAGUGUUAUAUUUAUCACUUUCCACCACAUGUUAUGUGUAGACAAUGAUCUUUACUAUCCUAUCUCAUUUAAGUUUUAGAUUUUAAAAUUUUUGAAAAGUUGACAUUUGUGACAUGUUAUCAGGUAAACAAGAAAUUUGCUUUUCCGCAUGGUUAUCCCCAUUAACUCAUGCAAUAUGUCUCCACAGUUUUAAAGAGAGGAGAUUAAACAGAACCUGACAGGAAGAGUUGAUGGGCAAUGGUCG
rnacentral:lncRNA from 1 species